rnacentral:lncRNA from 1 species
UGGAAUGAAACAAAAAAUAUAAAAUUUACAUAGAAAUUAUUUAUUUAUAAUUGUAUGCUUCCAAUAUAUUUUGUAAUGAUCUUUUAUAUAUUUCUAAUCUUUAGGCAUUGGCAAUGAUUAUGCAUUAAUAUUUGGACACAUGAUAUUAAUUAGUAUUUUUUAAGUAGCGAAUUAGUGUCAUAUUUAUUUAGUUUGAACUUUUCAUGUGACAUAUUUGUUGGAUGGUACAUGAUAAUUAAUAUCAAUAAAUGAUGUGUGAUGCGUUCGCAAAACUGCUCUUCCAAAUGUAGGAGAAUUGCAUAAGUAGUAUAAUUCGGAAGUCCGAGGUCGAUUCCUCAAGGAGCAGUCUAUGUGUUAUUAGCAUAAAUUCAGAUGCAAUUUCAGAUGGUUUCUAGAAAUGAAAAGUAGAGAAUAAUAAAUAAAUAAACUAAGUUUGAUUCCUCAAAGAGCGGCCUAUGCGUUAUUAGCAAAAUUUCAGAUUGUUUCUUGAAGUUGAGAGAAACUAAUAAUUAGAUUAAGUUCAAUAAUAUAAAGAUGGUUAAGGAUCCGAAAAUCCUCCUUGACAAUAUUACAUCCAAGUUAUAAACUCUAUGGUUUCUGAUUUAAAGGUUCAAACGUAGAAUAGAUCUACUCAUGGGGCAUAUUACUUGAACACAUGAAUUCAAUUUCUAAGCAUUCAUCAUGCCGGUUACGUCUACGACGAAUCAAAUACUAAAGUAAUCCAUGUAUCAAUAGAUAUAAACCAUUAAAGAAUUAUCUACAACAUAAACAAACAAGAAACCAAAACAUAUCAAUUGAUGUAAAUUGACUAGAACAAAAGUUUAUAGUUUACUUCAAGGAAAUAACAUGUCAAGGGUUCAUCCAUCACCCUUCACCAAAGUAAUCAGCCCUCGAUGAAGUUGAGGCUCCUCUUCAUACUUUCUUUGUAAUGCCGCCUUUCCUCCCUCCGAACGGCGAGUUUCCACAAGUAUAUACAGGGUUUAGGGACUUAAAAUCCUAGGAAACAUGGCUUAGACAUGCUUGCAUGCAUUUUUGCCAACUUUACCCUCGAGUACCAACGUCAGCAUGAAGUUCAGGAGGCUCCCCAGAUCGUAUCCAAUCUCAAUUGGACUUCUGUAACUUCCGAAAUCAUCAAAAUACUACACAAAAGUCCAAUCUGUUAGGGCUCAUGCUGACAGUUUAGAAAAAUCUAACUUUGCAACCUCAUAAAUUUCUCUCCGAGGUUCCAAUUGACCUGAUUCUUGAUGCAUAUGAAAUCUUAACAUAUCUACUUCAUCUCCACCAAAUUUUAUUUCAUUUAAACUGCAAUGGGGCAUUCAAUCUCCUUAACUCCAUUUGGGAUGUUGAAGACAGAUGGUUGGACUUGUUAGAUGUAUGCCCUAGAAGCCAAUCUGGCUGACACAUUAUUAAUUCUAGGAUAUAAUUUUGUACUUGACUUUAUUAUUAUUAAAUAAUAAACGGCAUCUUUUUCCAUUCAUAUUGUUUAUGUGUCUAUGAA